CUGCAGAUAGCAAUUUUCUUAUCAUAGGAAUGGCUAGGAAUUAAAUCCCAAAUGCUUAUUGAAUCUUCAUAAUUUGGUUGUCUCAUUAAACCAAAAUCUUAGAAUCUCCAAUCAACAAGAUUGUGUUACCAUUACAAAGAUCCUUACAUAGUAAACUUUAAGCACAUUCCCCUCAACAUGCAGUAUGCUUGAUCUCACGAUAAAUCUUUUCUUUGUGGAUCCACGAGUUUACACCAUUUUAGAUCAAUUGUUUAAUGGUAUUAUGUCUAUGACUUAUGCAUUUAGACUUACCAUUACAUGUGACUUAGUAUCUUAUCAAAUAUAGCUAACCAAUGAUCGAUUCAUUUAAUAGACACACAUUGUCACCAAUUAAGAAAUCCUCUUAUACAGGUACAUGUUUCUCAUUAGCUAAAGCUUUGUCAAUUCCAAAGAACAAUGUUAGAGGAUUUCUAUCAAACACUACAUAAGUCAAUCAUAUUUACUAAUGGAUUUCAGAUCACGGGUAUUCAAUAUCAUUAUUGAAACAUUACAAUGCAUUUGAACUUUAUAAAUAUUCCGAUUGUUCUUACACAUCCAAACAAUUGUCAUAAUCGACUUCCAUCUCAUUUCAUCCAUUAUAAACUUAGUGUAUAUCAUCCUUAUAUUUAGUAUAAGGGCUUUUUACCUUUUCACCUGCAUUAUUCGAACCAUACUUCAAGUCAAUAUAAUUGAUUUGACCAAGUAAAUAAAGGAAAUUGAUUUGACCACAUGCAUUAUUUACACCAAGUUUUAAGCUAAGUGAAUUGAUUUGACCAUAUGAUUAAAGGUAUUGAUUUGACCAUUUUCAUGACAGUACAUCAUUUAUGCAUUGACCAUGCUAACAUCUAGCAUUUUCUUUCACUUUUUCUACACAUGGGUCAAGAAUUUACACUAUACAUAGAAGAUAAACCCAACACUAAACUACUCCUCAACAAUUAUUUAUCAAUGUUUUAAAUAUCAGACCGGACCGGUCGGUUCAACCGGAAAAAUAGGGAACCGACCUCAAAUUUGGUCCGAUACUAAUAAAUUAAUUGGAAAUGAAAAAAUCAGUAGAUAACCGAUCGAACUGGCCAUUUUAGCGGGAAAUCGAAAAAUCGAUCAUGAUUUUUACCGAGUUUUUUUCCAAAAAAAUAAUAAUAAUAAAAUUAUAAUUACUUUGAUAAAUGGGCCCAAGCAUUGACAAGCCCAAUUUUACGUUCCUUCCAAUACAAG
rnacentral:lncRNA from 1 species